GCCAACAAUAAGGAGCUCCUGCCCUAUCU
rnacentral:piRNA from 1 species